CAGGUCUGUGAUNCCNUUAGAUGUUUUGGGCUGCACGCGCGCUACACUGAUGUGCUCAUCGGGUUCGACCUUGCCCGAGAGGGUUGGGUAAUCCUUUUAAAGCACAUCGUGAUGGGGAUAGAUUAUUGCAAUUAUUAAUCUUCAACGAGGAAUUCCUAGUAAGCGCGAGUCAUCAGCUCGUGCUGAUUACNUCCCUGCCCUUUGUACACACCNCCCGU
rnacentral:rRNA from 1 species